GGCUUAUUAGUUCAAUGGUAGAAUGCGGCUCUCGUAAAGCUGAGAUGGCGGUUCAAUUCCGCCAUAAGCCU